AACGAACGCUGGCGGCAGGCUUAACACAUGCAAGUCGAACGCACCGCAAGGGUGAGUGGCAGACGGGUGAGUAACGCGUGGGAACCUACCCUUUGGUUCGGAAUAACUCAGGGAAACUUGAGCUAAUACCGGGAUAAGCCCUUCGGGGAAGAUUUAUCGCCAUAGGAUGGGCCCGCGUCGGAUUAGCUAGUUGGUAGGGUAAUGGCCUACCAAGGCAACGAUCCGUAGCUGGUCU
rnacentral:rRNA from 1 species